rnacentral:lncRNA from 1 species
GGAAUGGUUUAGCAUAUCUCAUGCAUCAUGAUUAUGCCUUAGGUUGAUUGCAUUAGUAUCCACGUAUAUGUUGCAUUGCAUCAUUAUUUGUUGAUGUGGGUAAAUGCUGAAUGAUCCCAUAGUCACAGACAGGAAGUCCAGGAGCCUUUGACUACGCCCUGGCAGGUAUAGCAAGUCCAGGAGCCUUUGACUACGCCCUGGCAGGUAUAGCAAAGACCAGGAGCCUUUGACUACGCCCUGGCAAUGGUAAGUACAGAGGUGUUAUAUACACAUAUACAUAUAUGACAGGAAGACCAGGUGCUCGAUUCUACGCCCUGGCACAGAGUUACUGGGACUAUGUGGUGACAGGUUUACUCUUGAUGUGGUUUGUUUGUGUUAUGACGCAUUCCAUGAGAGCAUGUGUUACUGAAAUGUUUUACUAUUCUACUCACUGGGCUAUAGAGCUCAUCCCACUCCCUUAACCCCAGUUUUGCAGGUUCAGUGGUCAGUGUACAGGGACAGUUCAGCAGAGUACAGAAAGAGUAAAAGAGCUUGUAAUAGUAUAGAGUGGACAUGUAAAUUGUAAAGAGAUGUUAUAGUUGUGUAUAACGUUAGAGUUGUGUUUGAUUUAGUUGUAUUGUGUUGUAAAGCUUUUGUUACAUACAUGAUCUGUAUAUGUAUAUAUGUUUUAUAACCAGGCUUAACAGGUAUGAGUUAACCCAUCUAGAGCAAGCUCUAGUCAGGGGUACAGAGUACAGAGUACAGAGUACAGAGUACAGAGUACAGAGAUAGUGCAUGCACAGGUUAAGCCUUGGUUCAGCAAAGAGUUUUUAUUUUCACAGAAAAUGUAUCAUGUAUGAGUUUUACAGGUACACAGAGAGUAUUGCAGGCUUGCUACGGGUUCUGGCGGCCUUAAGCCGACCUGAAUCCUAGUGCCGGUGACGGUCCAUUUUGGGGUCGUUACACUAGCCAUUGCCCUUGGCAAUGCAGGACCUACUAGACAUUGCCCUUGGCAAUGCAGGAGGACGGGCAUCAGUGCCCUCGUCCUGGGGUGGUACUCCAGUCAAUCGUGCAGAUCGACGAGUUCCUCUCAUCCUGUUUUCUGAAAAACAGUACACGUCACGUAGAACAUUAGCAUCAAAUGGUUCAUGUGCAAACACAUGAACCCGCAUCACAUACAUCACAUAUCAUAGCAUAACAUUAAUGCACAUGCAUAUAAUCAUGGCAUUUCACAUCAUCAUUCAAGACAGGACUCUUUAUCCCAUCCUAGUGGACAUGAUCUUCCUAUUGUGCUUGACCUUCCAUAACAUCUAUGAGCCCGACACUCUAGGUCCGACCAUAUGAACCUAGGGCUCUGAUACCACUCUGUAACGAUCCGAAAAUCCGGACCGCUACCGGCGCUAGAAUCCAGAUCGGCUUAAGGCCGCCGGGACCCGUAGCAAGCCAAACAUACAUCCUGUGAACCUGUUUAAUCCCAUACAUGAUCAACAUCAUAGAUAAAAAUUUGAACUUUUCUUUUUCAUUCAUGAACCAAACUCAACCUUUGCAUGCAUUAACAUAGACAUUAACAUUAACCCCACCUUGGAGUCCUCAUCAAAGCUCCAAUGGGGUGACAUAAUCAUGCAUUAAGUUUGGUUAAACAUAAUCAUCCAUAAACAUUUAAGAUCAUGUAUCUAAAAAGGGAUUUACAACAUACUAUGGUCAAGCACACUUCUAAACCUCAAUAUCAUCAUUACAUUACAUAACUCAACAUUUCAUUACAAUAUCCAUCAUGUCCACUACUAGCUAUUACAUGACCAAGACUUUACUCUAUCCGACCUCUUGCUCUAUCCUGUACCUGCAAACCUGGGGGUUAAGGGAGAGGGGUGAGCUAACAAGCCCAGUGAGUAGAACCAUAAAAACAUGUUAACAAACAUGCUCAUAUGAAAUGCAUCAUAACUCAGACAAAUUCACAUCAAGGGUUGGGUGAACUUGUCACCAAAUAGUCCCAGCAUCAUUUCGUGACAGGCCGUAGCAUGGGGUCCUAGUCUUCCUGUCAUAUCAUACAUUACUUACCAUUGCCCCAGGGCCUCCUCUGGGCACCUGGUCUUCGAGUCCCAUAUCCGUGCCAGGUCGUAGAAUGGGGUCCUGGUCUUUUAUUUCCGUGCUAGGCCGUAGAAUGGGGUCCUGGUCUUUCCUCAGGGACUAAUUGGGUCAUCCAACAUUGACCCACAUCAACAACAAAGAAUGCGAUGCAACAUAUUCGUGAAAUCUAAUGCAAUCAUUCUAUUGCAUAAUCAUGAUGCAUGAAACAUGAUAAAACAUUUAAUUUCUCAAUUUAAAAGAUUAAGUUCAGUUCCACUCACCUCUGGCUGACUCAGACAAACACCGAAGCAGCUGAACUCACUGCUGGGGUCCUUGGUUCCUCGGGCCCGAACCUACACAGGUGGACUCAAAUGAGGGACCUAACAUACAUAAACAUAACUCUAAGAACAUCCUCUAAAAACCCCCUGAAACACCUUAAAACAAUCAAAGAAUUCAUGCAAAGAAGGGCUGAACAGGGCACUUUCGGCGGCAGGUUCGGCGGCCGAAAGUCCCAGACAGAGACGAAACUCAUGUAUGUUCGACGGCACUUUCGGCGGCCGAAACUGCCCUCCAGAGACGAAAGUACUCUUUCGGGGGCAGGCUUCGGCAGCUGAAGGCUGCCUCCACAAGCGGAUUCGACGGCCGAAAGUCCAUUCUGUAAUACCCGGCUAGAGUCCGGCAUCGGAAUUCUACUUUUCGAUGGAGUUUCGGAUGCCGGAAGUCUCUAGAGGGUUCGAUUUAUGUUUUUCUAUCUUGUUUUGAUAUGUUCAUAAGUUUUAAAACAUAAGAAAAUGAGUUUUUGAGUGAAAUGAACCAAGGCAGAAAAGCCAGGUUCGGCCGCUGAAGUUGAGGUUCGGCCGCCGAACAUGCAUGGCUUUCGGUUUCACGUGUGGCCGCCGAAGGUGGUCUGGCCAGCCACCUAUAAAUGGCCCUCAGUCGGUUGAAACGAUAAGAUCACCGUUUCUUCGACCUGCUAAGGUGAAACCCUAUCCUUUUUAGAGUUUUCUUCAUGUUUUCAUUAAAUCAUGCAAAGAGUUGAGUGAGUUUUAUGUUAUUUUGAAGGUUUUGAGCUUUAAAUACAAAGUUGUGAAUUUUGGUGAGUUUGGAGGAGUUGUGCUUCAAAACUCCACGUUGGGAUCAUUCAUCUACUUGAUUUCGAAAGGUAAGUGAAGAUCCUGAGCUUGUUUUUAUGAUUUAUACUGGUUUUAUGGGGUUUAUGGAGAGAGUUGCAUGAAUAGGUUAAAAGAAGAGUUUUUUAUGAUUUUGUGAGAGAGGCUUGUUUAUGUGUUAUAAGUUUUGUGUUGUUGGGGUUUUCGGUAGUUUUUUACCCCUUUGAGCAUAUUCUUAGGUGUAUGCAAGUUGAGGAAGUGACGUGUGAAGUUGGAGAGGAGUUUGGUGCAUUUGGCGAGAGGCAGGGCAAGUUUCUGCCCUACUGAUGAACUCAGGUUCGGCCGCCGAAGGUACAUUCGGCCGCCGAACCCCUGAGGAGGUGAGAGGAGGUGACUUCGGCUGCCCAAGCUUGCCCCCGAGCUUUUGGACUUUCGGCUCUGGAGGGAAGUUCGGCCGCCGAAGGUUAGCGACUUUCGUCUCUGGAGAGGACUUUCGGCCGCCGAAUCUGCCGCCGAAAGUGUUCUGUCCAGCUUUUCUUUUGCAUGCUUUGCAUGAGUUUUAGAGUGAGUUUAAGGGGAUUCUUGGGGAGUUUCUUGGAGUUGCUCAUAAGCUAGGUUGGUCCCUCAUUUGAGUCUAUCUGUAUAGGUACAGACCAGAGGAACCAGAGAGAGCAGCAGUGAGUUCUGCUCCAGAGUUUUCAGAGCCUGCAGAGUCAGUCCAGUUAGCCAGAGGUGAGUGGAACUAAACUUAACGCUUUUAAUUGCACAAUGGAAUGUUUUAGCAUAUCUCAUGCAUCAUGAUUAUGCAAUAGGUUGAUUGCAUUCGUAUCCACGAAUAUGUUGCAUUGCAUAGUUAUUUGUUGAUGUGGGUGAAUGCUGAAUGAUCCAAUAGUCUCAGACAGGAAGUCCAGGAGCCUUUGACUACGCCCUGGCAGGUAUAAUAAAGACCAGGAGCCUUUGACUACGCCCUGGCAGUUAUAGUAAAGACCAGGAGCCUUUGACUACGCCCUGGCAAUGGUAAGCACAGAGGUGUUAUAUACACAUAUACAUAUAUGACAGGAAGACCAGGUGCUCGAUUCUACGCCCUGGCACAGAGUUACUG